UCGUAUUUUUAUACCUUUAUUGAGAAAAAUAAAAAAUCAAUAACAUCAAAAUUUAUACACGUAUAGCUUAAUUCUAAUUACUAAUUAAAUAUCGCAAAAGGGAGCGCAGUAUGUUUACAUACUUUACAUGUACUUUGGCAUUCAGCCGUUAUGUUUGAGAUGCACGACAUUCUCGCGGUACACGUGUAAGAAAAAAGCUUCUGCAGUACGCGUGAGAGUAGGCUGCAAGUGCGAUCUGAACGAAUUUUAUUAUAAUUUAAAAAUUUCACAAUUUGGCUUCCGCUGUUUGAUUCCACUCAUCACAUUGUUUGUUGUCAAAAAUCUCUGAAAGUCUUACUGAGCUAUAAAUCAAGUUAAGGUCUAGUUCAUCGAUAUGUUUGGGACUCAUCAUCUAGGCAAGUUUGAAUUAGUAUUAAUUUUAUUAACAACCACGAAAUAGAAACUUCAUUGCAUAAAGUCGCCUUCCUCCCAAUAUCAUUAAGAUUCGUUCACAGUUCAUAAUAAUCGUUAGCCUAGCUACUGUCAGUCGCACUGUAUUACCUAAUGCCUCCUAAGUCUCUAUAGUUUUCUGCGCGUGGCUAGAACCGAUAUGUGCUACAUUACUAGUUCGAAUGUUAUUUUCGGUUGAAAUAGCGGGUUUAAGCACUAUUGAAACAUUGGAAGUAUCACAGGCAACAUUCGUAACAUUUUCAAAGCAUGCACUGAAAGGUAAACUUCUAGUUAUCCUUUUGUGAAUCAUCCAGAUUAAGUACAAUCACUAACAAAGCUAAUGUUAAGCAUAUCUGCUGAAAGCACAUAGGAUGAUAUCAUAAAGUUAAGUUUGAUAGUUUGACCAUAACCCAUGAUGUAAGCUUUUACAUCUGGAUUUUUCUUUGACCCUUUCUUUCCCACAGCUUUGUUGUGCACAAUCCGUUGUCUGUUCAGCUUCAUCGGUCUAUUAAAAAUGGAGAUUUGAUUUUUCAAUGUUGCAGUGAUAAUGAUUAUUGCUUUCCGUGUUAUCUAAAAUGUCUCAAAGUAUGCUUUUAAGUAUGCAAUAAGUGGGUUACACACAAGAAAUUGAUCUAGUGGCGAUCUCACCAAGGGCGAAAAACUACUAUAUUAAAGACAAUAAUAAUAACUAGGGAAUAAUCAUUGUUUUUAGUGAUCAAAGCAGAGCGAUGAGUCAUACAUUAUCAAAAUUUUGCUAAGUUAACAAUAGCACAUGCUGAAAACUUUUCGAUUUGGAUUAAUUCUGUAAUCACUUUCUAGUGUAUAAUACAUUUGUUGCAGACUUCAAGGCGCGUAGUACAUAUUUAAAGACAUUUUACCAUGUUCGAAAAAUAAAUGCCCUAAAGUAUGCACUAAACGCCUUUAUGCAACAAAUGGGUUAUACACUGAAGUAUGAUGAAUACUACUCAUAAUUAACGAUAAAUUCAAAACAAUAAUCUUUUGAACUUAUAACCGAUAAAUCACAAAUUUUAAUUAACUUUAUGAUUAAUCAUUUACGCUCUGGAUUAUAGAUAACGACCAAAUCAAAGGCUUUAACCAAGACUUAAAAUCAAUUACCUUGACCAAUUUAAUGAUGAAGUACUUGCACUAAUUUAGUGAUCAUUUACUGUACUAGAGCCUUAUGACGGAAAUACCGUUAUUAUUACACUCAUAGCAGCUAACCCACUCAAACCCACGCUAUAUAGAGCCAUAGUGAUAGUUUGGCGGUGAGCUGAAAUGGACUUAAUUAACCUGUAAUAUGAAAAGGUCGUAUUCAGCAGUUUCGACUCUUUGUAUAAUAACAUUCGACUAAAUGUAGCACAACCGUCUAUUUCACAACACUAAAAUUGUAUGCUCAAAAUAUAAUUCGGCGUAAUUAAAUACCUAAAUUUACUACUUUACUUUCAGUUAUAAAUAUCCACGUGUGUU